rnacentral:rRNA from 1 species
AUUGAACGCUGGCGGCAUGCCUUACACAUGCAAGUCGAACGGCAGCACGGGUGCUUGCGCCUGGUGGCGAGUGGCGAACGGGGGAGUAAUACAUCGGGACACGUCCGGGAGUGGGGGAUAGCCCGGCGAAAGCCGGCUUAAUACCGCAUACGAACUACGGAUGAAAGCGUGGACCCUUCGGGCCUCGCGCUAUAGGGUUUGCUGAGGGCCUUUUCGCUGGUGGGGGGGGUCACGGCCUACCAGGGGGGCGAUCAGUAGCUGCUCGGAGAGGACGACGAGCCACACGGGGUGUGACACACGGCCCAGACCCCCACGGGAGGCCGCAGGGGGGAAUUUGGGACAAUGGGCGAGAGCCUGCUCCAGCCAUGCCGCGUGUGUGAAGAAGGCCUUCGGGUUGUAAAGCAGUUUUGUCCGGAAAGAAAGCCUUGGCCCUAAUACGGUCGGCGGAUGCCGUAACCGGCAGGAUAAGCACCGGCUACCUCCGU